UGCUGCUGCAGGAACAAAGCACAGGUUGUGGUUCACAAGCCUUUUACAGGAAGCACUUUGACGGUAGCUAUUUAUAGGGGGGUGGCCUAUGUCUCCCUCUGUCUUCCUCUGAUGCUGCCGAAGAACUUACUACAGAACUGUUUUCCACUGGAAAAUGCUGAUUGCAUGGAAUCAGAACGUUCGGCGGGAACAGGAGCCCUUGCCUCAACGCUUCUGACAGAAACCAGGCUGCCACCAUUUUUUUUGAGGAACACACAUGAGAAGAAGGACAUCAUGGUUCUGAAGAAUUUACUAUGUGAUGCUGCCCAUCUGAAUCUGACGGAUCUGUUUGUGUGUGUGUGAGAGAAGUCUUCCUGUCCACUCCAUAACAGCCUGCAACUAACAUAUCUGAGGCUUUCUGCAAUUAACUAUAGCACGUUUAGGUUCCUUAUUAGCAGCAAGCAGAAUCCAUGGAACUGACAUGCUAAUCCAGAUAGGUAAAUGCAUUUUAUGGGUAAAGGUAGGUGUAUUUCCAUUCCAAAGGCAUUCAUUCUGCAAUAGCAAAAUUCAUGAAAUGAUUUCUUUACUCUGAUUUAUUGACAGAAUUUCUGCCUCACUUCAGCCUCCUGAAUAGGAAUAAUAGGAAAUAUGUGGCUAGUAAAUGUUUUAAAAUCUCAAAAUAUUAAACAUUGAUGGAGUAUCAGAAGUGGAUAUAGUCACAUCUAGACAUGACUGAAAAUCCAUUGAAGGAUGGCUUGUAAUGUUCCAUCUAUUUUUUCCAUCCCCAUGCAGAAUGAAUUUUAUGUACACAGUGGCACAUGCA